GAUGAACGCUGGCGGCGUGCCUAAUACAUGCAAGUCGAGCGAACGGACGAGAAGCUUGCUUCUCUGAUGUUAGCGGCGGACGGGUGAGUAACACGUGGAUAACCUACAUAUAAGACUGGGAUAACUUCGGGAAACCGGAGCUAAUACCGGAUGAUAUUUUGAACCGCAUGGUUCAAAAUUGAAAGACGGUCUUGCUGUCACUUAUAGAUGGAUCCGCUCUGCAUUAGCUAGUUGGUAAGGUAACGGCUUACCAAGGCAACGAUGCAUAGCCGACCUGAGAGGGUGACCGGCCACACGGGAACUGAGACACAGUCCAGACUCCUACGGGAGGCAGCAGUAGGGAAGCUUCCGGAAUGGGCGAAAGCCUGACGGAGCAACGGCGCGUGAGUGGUGAAGGUCUUCUGAUCGUAGAACUCUGUUAUUAGGGAAGAACAUAUGUGUAAGUAACUGUGCACAUCUUGACGGUACCUAAUCAGAAAGCCACGGCUAACUACGUG
rnacentral:rRNA from 1 species